rnacentral:lncRNA from 1 species
UGCCAACAUUGUUUGUUACCGUUACGACUGAAUUCAAUUAAAAACACCAUCUCCCACCAUUGAGGUAAGCCAACCAGCCACGUCCUCAUCUAAAUCAUCAGAAAACAGUUCGGUUUGCAUAAAAUCAAAUUCGGGUUUGUCUAUUUUUGGUGAUUUCUAUUUUAGGUCAGUAGAAAACAAGAGAGGGAUGCAUACCAUAGCUGGGAUUCACUGUUGAAGUUCGAUUCGACUUUCAUCAGCGCUGACUCUAUCAGAUUUAAUCAAAAUAAUGCAUCGAAUUGAGAAAACUUUAAAUCGAGGUCCAAUUCUACUCUUUCCUUCUUUUUAUCUUAUCGUUUAUUAUAUUUUGGUGUGUUGGAUUGAAUAUCAUGUAUUGCUUGAUCUUUGUUGAUAAUGUUGUGAUUUGCGUGUUUCGUGAUAAUUGAUGACAUAAUUUUGAUCACAUGUUUGAACAUCUAUGAUUGUCAUGGCUUUGAUUGGUUGUUUCUAUAUUGAAGUUGAUUAUUUGAUCGAAAAAUGAGAUUUGAGGGGCGGGAAUUAAAAACAUUGAUAAAAGUGAACAUUAGUUUAUGUUGAUUCAUUGAUAGUCGCUUGAUUUGGGAUAAGAAUAUACUUUGUUAAAUUCGAUAGUCUCGUGUGAUAGUUUAAUUCGGAUAGGCAAAUGUAGACUCGGGUAGGCAAAUUUCAAACUUUUGUUUUGUUGAAUGUGCUUGGGAAUAUUUCUUUCUAAUUUAUAGUAUUCUAUUCAAGUGUAUUCAGUUGGCCAGGGAAUGCCCCGAGGUUUCAUGUAUUUAUGUACCAGGGAAUGCCCCGAUGUAUUAUGUCUUCGAAGGAAGUUCGUGAUCAAGGCCCGAGUCAUCGGGUAAAGCAUUGGAGCUUAGUUCAGGUUUAGUUUAGAAUAGGUUUUAUAUUUUUUGCAUUUUUCUAUUUUGAACUGUAUAAUUGGACUGCACACUAUAUUUUGGAUUUAUUUUGUUUCAUGUGUUUGAUUGAUUGUUUUAUGUGUUUUUGUGUGGUUUAUACAUUUGUAAUGUCAAAUUAGCCGAUAUGCUCCACCAAGCGACAGUGGUUGAACCACGGGAUCGAGGGGUGCCUAACACCUUUCCCUCGGUCAACAGAAUUCCUUAGUCGAAAUCUCUAUUCGCAGAUCAGUUAUAGAGUCAAAAUCAUUUUGAAAAGGAUCUCCAAAGGUGACUUGGCACACUGGAUUAUGUCAAGUGGUGACUUUGAAUAAAAAAUGUAAACAAUCCUUUUUCGAAAUAAAUUUUCAAUCUUUUAUCACUUUGAUAAUAAAAAUCCUUUCGAACCUUAAAACCAAUUCUUUUGGCUUAAAAAAGAGGUGUGACACCACCAAUAUAUGAUUUUCUAGAGGAAGUUAGAUUGAUGUCUAGUAGAUGGAACUGUGAAAACAGACAGCAGGCAUUGUUUACUUUUACAAAUCUUAUUGGUAAGUUUCAAGAAAUUCUACAACAGAAUGAGGCGGAGAGUACAC